GAGUUUGAUCGUGGCUCAGAUUGAACGCUGGCGGCAGGCUUAACACAUGCAAGUCGAGCGGAGAUGAGGUGCUUGCACCUUAUCUUAGCGGUGGACGGGUGAGUAAUGCUUAGGAAUCUGCCUAUUAGUGGGGGACAACAUUCCGAAAGGGAUGCUAAUACCGCAUACGUCCUACGGGAGAAAGCAGGGGAUCUUCGGACCUUGCGCUAAUAGAUGAGCCUAAGUCGGAUUAGCUAGUUGGUGGGUAAAGGCCUACCAAGGCGACGAUCUGUAGCGGGUCUGAGAGGAUGAUCCGCCACACUGGGACUGAGACACGGCCCAGACUCCUACGGGAGGCAGCAGUGGGGAAUAUUGGACAAUGGGGGGAACCCUGAUCCAGCCAUGCCGCGUGUGUGAAGAAGGCCUUAUGGUUGUAAAGCACUUUAAGCGAGGAGGAGGCUAACUGAGACUAAUACUCUUGGAUAGUGGACGUUACUCGCAGAAUAAGCACCGGCUAACUCUGUGCCA
rnacentral:rRNA from 1 species